CUGAGAGUUCUGCCCUUGUAUGGAGUUUGAAAGAAGACUUGCAGAGGAAAAAGGAAGAAUAUACAGAUUUGAAAGAGAAAUUUUCUGAUGCCAAGAAACAAAUUCAGCAAGUACAAGAAGAGGUGGGUACAAUGCAAUCUGAGGAGAAAUCACUGAGGAGCAAGGUUAAUGAACUUCAGAAAAUUAAAAACCAGCUUAGUGAAGAAUUAGAGAUCAAACAGUGCACAAUUCUGCAACUUAAAAAGGAGCAGUUGAAUAACGAGAAGCUGGAAGAAAUCUCCAAAGAGUAUGAGAAAACAUGUAAAGAUCUGUGUGCAAAGGAAAAAAUAAUUGAAGAUAUGCGAAUGACAUUAGGAGAACAAGAACAGACUCAGAUUAAACAAGAAGAAGUGAUGGAAGCCAAACUAGAAGAGAUCAACAGAUUAGUUUUGGAACUGGAACUAUGGAAGCAGAAAUUUAGAGAGCUGAAUAACCAGAGCGAUAGUGACUGGCAGCAAAAGAUGAGCAAAAAAUGAGGAGAAAAACAGAAGUGAAAAUGAGGAAAUAAUGAAGCUGCAAAACGAGCUGAAGGAAAAUGAGGCAAAGUAUCAAAGUGAUAGAAAGAAGUGGCUGGAGGAGAAAAUGACACUCAUACAUCAAGUAAAAGAAGCUGAGAUCCUUCGCAACAGGGAAAUGAGAAAAUUUGAGGAGGAAAGAGAGCACCACGUAAAGAAAGAAGCAGAAAUUGAAAGUCUUGCUGCUGCACAGCUGGCAGAAAAGGACAACAGUCUUCAAAAGUGGCGUGAAGAAAGAGAGACAUUAGUAGAAGCUUUGGAAAUACAGCUCAAGACCUUGGUUUCUAACACCACACAAAAAGAUAAGGAAAUAGCAGAACUGAAACAGGCUGCACUAAAGGAUUUGGGAAAGGGUAAGGAAACUGAUAUAGAAGAACUAAGGAAACAGCUGGCUGAGAAAGAUGAAUUUAUAAAGGAACUGAAACAGCAGGUUAACC